ACGUAGGGGGCGAGCGUUAUUCGGAAUUACUGGGUGUAAAGGGUAUGUAGGCGGCCCUUCAAGUCGCGUGUCAAAGUCCAGUGCUCAACGCUGGGAGUGCACGCGAUACUGACGGGCUUGAGGGCUGGAGAGGUGAGCGGAAUUCCCGGUGUAGUGGUAAAAUCCGUAGAGAUCAGGAGGAACACCAGCGGCGAAGGCGGCUCACUAGACAGAUACUGACGCUAAGCUACGAAAGCGUGGGGAGCAAACAG
rnacentral:rRNA from 1 species